UGAGAGAGUGAGAGAGAAGCUGCCAAAACCGACCCAACUACAGACCCGAAAACCCGACCCGGAACCCGCGGCUUUGACCCGACCAUAUCUCCCAUUUCCGGCCACCGUUUCGGCCGAGCUUGGUACCAAUAUGAAGCUUAGAAGCCGACCGUUGUUCCCCUGCCAUCAUCGCCGCUGAAAACCAACCGGAACGCCGGCGAUCGAAGCUUGAAACCCGCUACUGUUUCACUGUACUCCGCCCGGAUUUUCGCCGGUUUUGGGUGACACCACCAGUUGGAUCUUGUUCCCCACGACUCCCUUUUCCAUUUCCGACCAUCCAUAGGCACCGAGAGUCACUGUUUUGCCGCCGGUCGAUUGUUGGAAUUCACGACUACCGAGCUAGAUUCCGGCGUCGUUACCGCGCGUUGGAGCUCACCGCCGGUACCAUUGAACUCAGCGUGAUUGGAAAUUUCAGAUUGGAGCUUCCUAUCCAGUGUUGACCAGAUUCCGGUGACCGUUGAUCGGCAAGGGCAUUUUGGUAAUUUCACACUAUGAGGGCAAUUUUGUAAUUUCUGAGCCUGUGGAUAUUUGCUAAUUCCUAGAAUUGAGGAGUGGGUGUAAUUACGAUUCCGAGGGUAAUUCGGUGUUGUACGAUUUCAAAGUAUUUGUUAAUGAUUUACGGACUCAUGGGUAUUUUAGUAAUUUUAUGGGCACGGGAGUUGUCAAUUAUGGAUAGAUGUUCGUUUUGAGUUUAUUGCAUAAAUUUAGUAGUAAAUCCGAUUUACGGAAAAUAAUUAUUACGUUUCCUUGAUUUAGGGGGAUCCGCGAGCGAGAACCGAUCUGCAGACGUGGACGAUAACCGACCGUGAACACCGUCACUGUGAGUGGAAUAUACAAAACCUAUGUUCAUAGUUAAUUGUGAUAGCAAAGUAUGUUUGCGAAAUAAGUAUUUUAAAUGUUCUGAUUUAAACGUUUUCCUCGAAAUGGAUUUUAUUUACGCAUUGGUAUUUUAUUAAAAUGUUUAAUUAAUGAUUUUGCGUAUCGACUUUGAAUGAGCAUGAUAGUAUUUUAAAGAUAAGAAAAGUGGAUUCAAAUGUGGUAUGAUUUCAAGUAUGAUUAAAAGGUAUGUGAAUAUGAGUAUAAUGAUUGUUUUUGAAAUCAUUAGACAGUACCCUUCCCCUCCAGAUAUAGUGAUGCAGGUGAUAUGAGAUGAGAGGCCUUUGGGGCUCGUCUGAGUACACAUAGAGUCUUUGGGCCAUGUGCUUGGGCGUUUUAUUAUGCAUGCACAGAUAUGAUGAGAUAUGAGAUAGUAUUUCCCUGUCUAUCCGUGUAGCUCCGGGGCGUGACGUUACCCAGAUAGUACGUCAUUGCUCGUCCGUUGAGGUCCGGAUAUGACGAGAUUAUUUCCCUGGGUACUUGUUUGGUGAUGAUUUCAGAUUUGUGAAUUCUAUAUGAUAUUGUGAUAUGAUUUCCCUGAUUAGAAAUCUGAUUUAAAUGUUUAAUGAUUUAUUUCUGGUUUCUAGCUUAUGGUUUAAUGCAAUCGUGUUUGGAAAUGAUAUGAUUAUUUCUUUUAAAGUAAUAAUUAAUUUUCAAAAUUACUAUCCAC
rnacentral:lncRNA from 1 species